GAUAAUAUUUAUCAUUUUAUAAUUCAUAUAUAUAUAUGGAGCACAAUCAUCUAUAAUUUAGAUGAUUGGUUUUAGGACACAAUUGCCAACAGCUUGAGGGGUUGCAGAACGAUGCUUCCAAGAGAAAAAAUUCAAAAAUUGCCCUUAGACCCAUCUAGAUCUAUCAUGUGGACAGUCAUGGUAAGUUAUGAGGCAUGCUUU
rnacentral:lncRNA from 1 species